UGGGGAAUAUUGGACAAUGGGCGAAAGCCUGAUCCAGCCAUGCCGCGUGUGUGAAGAAGGUCUUCGGAUUGUAAAGCACUUUAAGUUGGGAGGAAGGGCAGUAAGCGAAUACCUUGCUGCUUUGACGUUACCGACAGAAUAAGCACCGGCUAACUCUGUGCCAGCAGCCGCGGUAAUACAGAGGGUGCAAGCGUUAAUCGGAAUUACUGGGCGUAAAGCGCGCGUAGGUGGUUCGUUAAGUUGAAUGUGAAAGCCCCGGGCUCAACCUGGGAACUGCAUCCAAAACUGGCGAGCUAGAGUAGAGCAGAGGGUGGUGGAAUUUCCUGUGUAGCGGUGAAAUGCGUAGAUAUAGGAAGGAACACCAGUGGCGAAGGCGACCACCUGGGCUCAUACUGACACUGGGGUGCGAAAGGGUGGGGAGCAAACAGG
rnacentral:rRNA from 1 species